CAGUCGCCGCGGUAAUACGUAGGGUGCGAGCGUUAAUCGGAAUUACUGGGCGUAAAGCGUGCGCAGGCGGUUCGUUAAGACAGAUGUGAAAUCCCCGGGCUCAACCUGGGACCUGCAUUUGUGACUGGCAAGCUAGAGUGUGGCAGAGGGGGGUGGAAUUCCGCGUGUAGCAGUGAAAUGCGUAGAUAUGCGGAGGAACACCGAUGGCGAAGGCAGCCCCCUGGGCCAACACUGACGCUCAUGCACGAAAGCGUGGGGAGCAAACAGGAUUAGAUACCCCAGUAGUCCCUGUCUCUUAUAC
rnacentral:rRNA from 1 species